AGUGAACGCUGGCGGUAGGCCUAACACAUGCAAGUCGAACGGCAGCACAGUAAGAGCUUGCUCUUACGGGUGGCGAGUGGCGGACGGGUGAGGCAUACAUCGGAAUCUACUUUUUCGUGGGGGAUAACGUAGGGAAACUUACGCUAAUACCGCAUACGACCUACGGGUGAAAGCAGUGGAUCUUCGGACCUUUCGCGAUUGAAUGAGCCGAUGUCGGAUUAGCUAGUUGGCGGGGUAAAGGCCCACCAAGGCGACGAUCCGUAGCUGGUCUGAGAGGAUGAUCAGCCACACUGGAACUGAGACACGGUCCAGACUCCUACGGGAGGCAGCAGUGGGGAAUAUUGGACAAUGAGCGCAAGCCUGAUCCAGCCAUACCGCGUGGGUGAAGAAGGCCUUCGGGUUGUAAAGCCCUUUUGUUGGGAAAGAAAAGCAGCAGGUUAAUACCCCGCUGUUCUGACGGUACCCAAAGAAUAAGCACCGGCUAACUUCGUG
rnacentral:rRNA from 1 species